UGAAGCAGCUGAACCUGGGACACAAUCCUGAGAUUCAUGAUGCAGGAGUUCAACAUCUCUCAGACCUCCUCAAGAAUCCACACUGCAAACUAGAGAUACUACAGCUGAUGGGUUGUUAUCCUAA